UGGAGUAAACCUAACAUUCAAGUCAAUUUCUGUAGGUUGAAACUACUGAAGAAACAAAGUAAAAUUGCCUGAAGCAAAAGACCAAAAGGCAGUAAAUAAAGAGAUUCCCACUCUCCACUCCAGAGAGUGCAGAAUUAAAAAACAAAUAGAAACAAACAAAAACGUGACAAGUAUCUCUGGACAGAUAGAAAGUUCAUUGUUGUGAGAACUCCAUUCCAAACAGCGAGGAGCUUGAGAAUCUUGAAGAACUGAAGCAAAGUAGAGUAAAAGGGCUUCUACCCUUCUCUCCACAAGGCUUCCCACUCACGAUGGGGUAGAAGCCAGAAGAAAGGCAAUGAGCAUGGAGAUUCAUCUUGAUGCAAAGGUCUUUAAAGCCCCCACAAUGGCAUGAGCUGUCACCAAGAGCACCCUUGAAAAUGACUAAGCUGGAACCUGGUCAUGGCAGCCACCUAGCUUCCACCAAAGACAAUGAUAACUCUAUUGAAUGGUAGAACUAUAACUUGGAAGAUAUCUCGAACUCUGAAUGAUGACAUGGAGCAGAGCCAUCCAUCCCCCUGACCAGGACUGCUCACAGAAUCCUGACAUGGUUAACCAGAGACAGUGAAGUGACAAAGAAAUAAACUGGCUUUUAAGCCACUGUUUUAGGUCUUUCUGUUAUAGCAGUUCACUGUACCCUAACUAAUAUAAUAGCCUUAUCAACAAAAUAAAAUUACCAUCUAUUCCUAGUUGUCUGUUUUUAU